AAAUCUCUUCCCAUCGGGUUUCCGAUGACGAAGGACUUGGGCGUUGCCAGUCAAUGGCUCGCCUUAAAGGUCUCAGUGGUUCCGAAGAUUGAAUCUGGCGUAAUAAGUUUCGCUGGCCUAGAUCGGACGUCUGCUCAUAACCCGUCUUCCGACAUCUUUUUG
rnacentral:misc_RNA from 1 species